rnacentral:rRNA from 1 species
CAGCGCCUACGGGAGGCAGCAGUAGGGAAUUUUCGUCAAUGGGCGCAAGCCUGAUGGAGCAACGCCGCGUGGGUGAAGAAGGUCUUCGGAUCGUAAAACCCUGUUGUUAGAGAAGAAAGUGCGUGAGAGUAACUGUUCACGUUUCGACGGUAUCUAACCAGAAAGCCACGGCUAACUACGUGCCAGCAGCCGCGGUAAUACGUAGGUGGCAAGCGUUAUCCGGAUUUAUUGGGCGUAAAGGGAACGCAGGCGGUCUUUUA